ACGCACGCUGGCGGCAUGCCUCACCCAUGCAAGUCGAACGAGACCUUCGGGUCUAGUGGCGCACGGGUGCGUCACGCGUGGGAACCUGCCCUUAGGUUCGGAAUAACUCCCCGAAAGGGGUGCUAAUACCGGAUAAUGUCUUCGGACCAAAGAUUUAUCGCCUUUGGAUGGGCCCGCGUUGGAUUAGCUAGUUGGUAGGGUAAAAGCCUACCAAGGCGACGAUCCAUAGCUGGUCUGAGAGGAUGAUCAGCCACACUGGGACUGAGACACGGCCCAGACUCCUACGGGAGGCAGCAGUGGGGAAUAUUGGACAAUGGGCGAAAGCCUGAUCCAGCAAUGCCGCGUGAGUGAUGAAGGCCUUAGGGUUGUAAAGCUCUUUUACCCGGGAUGAUAAUGACAGUACCGGGAGAAUAAGCUCCGGCUAACUCCGUG
rnacentral:rRNA from 1 species